rfam:Echinostoma caproni strain Egypt genome assembly, scaffold: ECPE_scaffold0000254
GCACUGCUGACGUGUCCCAGAACAGGACGAAACAGCUAUCCAGUGC